UGGGAAUCCUACUGUGGUAGCUUAUUGGGU
rnacentral:piRNA from 1 species